GGAGUUACAGGAACAGUCUCUUGGCUCAGAUGGCUGAGGUGAUACACACUGCGUGGGAGAGGCCAGGAGCGAGGUCUCUGCGCUUUGUCGGGAAAUGGACACCUAGAACAGGACGACUGUCCACUGCUUGUUGUGGUCGUUUCUAUGACGUCACCAUCGGACAGCUAGCGCUGUCCUCCCUGGGUGGGUGUGCGUGCGAUGUGGGCUUCACUCCAGAGAAGCCACUGUGAAAGCAGAUGUGUGCACUAAGCCUACAAAGUAGCGUAAAUGUAAACCGUAAGGAUACCUGGUAGCCUAAACUGUCAAAUGCUGGAUACAGUUACCAGUGGGUUUGCAGAUUCAAAGCAGAAGCUGGGCUGGGGAUUUAGCUCAGUGGUUUCGCUGCCUGCUGCUCAAGCUCAAGGACCCGAGUUCAAUCCCCAGCAACCCCCCCCCCCAAAAGAACUACUUGGCUCAUCAAAGCAGAAGCCACUGUAGACUGGAGACUAUGCCUACGAGCUUGAUUUCCUUAAGGUGGAUCCUUUCCCCAGAGCAGUUUUCUGUCCCUUCUUCUCUCCCUCCGUUCUUUCCUUAGGUGCCCUAAGUUGCUUUUAGGAAGUUAGUGUCUGAAGCUAUAAUAAACAGAAGAAAUGGAGGAGGGGGUGUAGCAAGGAGAGUUAAGUGCUCACUGCAACAUCUAAUCAGAAAAAUCUCCUUUGAAAGGCGGUGUCCUCAGUGCUCUGCAGUAUUUGUUGUUGUUGGUACCGGGAAUUGAACUCAGGACCUUGCGCUUUCAAGGCAGGCGGCUGCUUCUCUGCAGUAUCGGUGACACGGAUAAUCCUUUCUCCCAAAGCAUUGGACAGAACUUUCAAUAAAGAAAAAAAUAGGCAUUCUUUAAAAUAAGGAACAGCACAAAUAGAGUGCGGAACACCAGGCGUGCUUCCUUCUGGGGCUCAGCAUUUGCUUGUCUCUGUCCCCAUGCCCACUUUCUGUACUCAGGUGUCACCUUCCUGGGAGCUUCCCCACACACCCAUCCCUCCUCCCGCAUUCCAUUUUUUGAGUAAUUCUGUCUUGUUCUCAAGUAGUUGAGUUCUGUGAAGACAGGCGUAUCCCACGAUUGCUUUGCUGCAGAACCUUAGCACCUGCAGCCGGCGCCUGGCGCCUAACAGAGGUGCAGCUUGCAGUUACUGACUGACCUUGUGGAAAACCUGCGGCCACCCAGAAACCCGGGGUGGGAAGUGGUGAUCGGUCGGCAUGGGCACUAAAUUCCACUCUGAGCUUCUUGGUGUUGAGGACAGAAACUUAAAGCAAACAAAAAUAGUAGGUUUGUUAAGUAUGCUAUUCAGCGUGACAUUAAGAGUGCGAAUAUACUUUCAACUUCCAAAAAAUUAGCUUUUCUUCAGUUGCAUAAGAGCAUAAGCCUAAGUUAGAGUAUUUCUGACCUGACUCUGAGUGCUGAGGUCUCUUCCACUCAGCGUCUGUGUUUCCCUGUGGAUUAAUUCUGUGCCUUGCUUUCCUCUCCAGUGAAAAGUAGCCGUGCAACAGAGAUCUGUAGUAACCCGGCAGCGCUAGGGCAGAGUAACAUGUACCUGCGUGUUUGCUUUGCUGCUUUACUGAACCGAAUCAAAAGGAUGUAGUGAGUGCUCUCUUCCCUGUCUUACAAGAUUUUUUUUUUUAAGUUUGGCAGGAGCAAAUGUGAGCCUUAAACUCUCAGAACUCCUGUGACCUUCUGAAGAAAGAUGAUGUGCUUAAAACACACAGUGAUUUUUUUCACUAUUGAGUUUGUGCCACAUACUUAGUACGUUAUUUAAUAUCAUUUAAGGAAAGAAAUCAUUGUCUCUAUUAAGCAUUUUACACCAGCAUUAAAAAUGCAUAUUAAAUGUGAGUUGGAAUAUGGCCUGGUUAAAUGAAAAUUUUUUGAAAGGAGAUGCUGAGUUCUUUGACCGAAGACAGGAGUGCAGAAUUUUAGACGGUUGGGCCUGGGUCCAUUGUGCUGGGAUCUGAAGGGCUGGCGAAGGGCAGUGGCUAGGGGUCAGCAAUAUUUCAGUACAGACCUAAGAGAUUACACAGCUCCAUCUGUUUUUCUUUUUCAAAGCAUAAUUCUUCCGCAGUUAACUCCGAGCAGGGCUGGGGGGGGCCCUUAGUGACUUCAGAGUGCUGAUUGCCUCAGGAGGGUGAGUCGGUAGAUUAGAACUGCCACCACAGUAGCUGUGAAGAGGCCACAGUGCCCAACACGGAGACACGGGAAAUACACUGCUUUCUGUUGCUUGGGUACCUCCUUCCUCCGCCUGUACCCACAGGAAGCGCAUUUCCGCCGAACUCAGUCUGGGGAGAGCUCACAGCCGCAGUCCCAGGCAUAGCUGCAGCUCUUGGAGGUGAUGACCUUCUCAGCUGGUUUGACCUUUCCUAGGGACAAAGAUUAUCUGUUGCCUUUUUGUGUCACAGAAUUAUGUGGUCAUUUCAGAAAUUCUCUACCAGUAAGUUUCCUUUGCAAUUUUGAUUUAGGUAGGGAGAUGUGUUAUAAAUCUGACUUAUUAAUGUUGCCUACUCUGGCUGAAGAAGGGAGAUUAAACAUGCUCGUGAGUUUGCUAAAGGAGGCAGCAGUUUCGGCUUUCACCGCUCUGCUUAAACACACCAGGGUCUGGCACACGAGAGUGAGGCGGAAUGUACACACCUGUCCAGAGCAGGGACCUGUUGGUGAAAGCAAGUAUCUUACUAUCAAACUCCAAGGCAUCUGGUUCUUCAUGGUAAAAGUGCUUUCCAAACACAUUAGCAUGAAUGAAACUGGAGUUUUAACUCACGAGGACAAUGAGAAUAAAGGACAAGAUGGUGGACCAGAAAUCCAGACUCAUUUUUAGCCCAAGACAGUUCCUCUUCAUGCAAAAAUACCAGGGCAAAAAAUAAAGAAUCAAAGUAGAAGAAAAUAAAAUAAAGAAUCAAAGAUUGGACAUGCCUGGCUAGAGCUAAAAAUACCGCAGUAGAAAUAAGUGCAUUUCUAAAGCUCAGAUGUUGGUUUCAAACUUUAAUUCUUCAGUAAAAGAAACAGGGCUCUGGGCAAAAACACCUGAUGCGGGCUGUAGGACAAGGAGACCUGAAGAGUGAUGCAGACCCAUCCAAAGAUGCUGACCUAAAGGAGCUGACUGCUCGCCAGAUGUGGGCGAUGUGAAAGACAGCAGUGUACUGUAACCUGAGUAAAAAGGGAAAUGCUGAGUCUGUGGUAGUAAUCUAAAAAGAUCCCAAAUGGUGGUGUGAAUACUCUUAUACGAAGGACUGCCAGGAAUAAAUACAGAAGAAACCAGAACCUGAAAAGUCACUGUUUUGCAGUCCCUCCUGCAGGGUCCCCCACAGCACCAGGGGAUGGUGACAACACUGAGGAAAGCGUUGUUGGGGACAAAAUGUGGCUGCAUGGCCAACGGCUGGCCAGUCACGCGUUCAUCACACAGGAGUCACUUGUGCCGGAGAGGGAGCUGGCAGACAGCCCUGUGCAAGGGGCCAGCUGGACAGCGGCCGUGACGGGGUAAACUGAGACCCUGGGCUUCUUAGCCUGGCCUGUGAGAAGAGGACAGCGCCAAGAAUCUUCAACCGGAAGCUCGCGACAGGGCAAGACGGAACAAAGCCAGACAGUGAGGCAUUCUGCAGAACAACUGGCCCGAAUUUUCCAAAUUUUUAAGGACAAAUUAUUGUAUUAAAAGCUGGCCUCAAAAAUAGCUGAAAGAGAAAUGACAGCUAAAUGGACUGCGUGAUCCUUGAUUGGAUGCUAAUUUGUUUUGCAAUCAGCUACAAAGAACAUUUCCGGGAAAUUGGGAAAAUAUGAAUGUGGAAUUUAUAUUAGGUAACAAGAUUGAACCUGUGCUUCAUUUUCUGGUGAGAUGAUUGCAUUGUUAUUAAAUAAAACAAUACUCCUAUCUUUUCAAAUAGUUAAACGGGAUGGGUGAGAGAAAUGAAAUCUUUCAAAAUAGAAAGCUGGAAUAAAUAAUUUGAUAGAUUAUGGCCAAGUA